UGCGUAGGUGGCGAGCGUUAUCCGGAAUGAUUGGGCGUAAAGGGUGCGUAGGCGGCCUGCUAAGUCUGGAGUGAAAGGUACCGGCUCAACCGGUACAGGCUCUGGAAACUGGCGGGCUAGAGAGCAGGAGAGGGCGGUGGAACUCCAUGUGUAGCGGUAAAAUGCGUAGAUAUAUGGAAGAACACCAGUGGCGAAGGCGGCCGCCUGGCCUGUUGACUGACGCUGAGGCACGAAAGCGUGGGGAGCAAAUAGG
rnacentral:rRNA from 1 species